CAAUAGCGUAUAUUAAAGUUGUUGCGGUUAAAAAGCUCGUAGUUGGAUUUCUGCUGAGAACGACCGGUCCGCCCUUUGGGUGUGUAUCUGGCUCUUUCUUGGCAUCUUCUUGGUGAACGUUGCUGCACUUGACUGUGUGGAGCGCUACCCAGGACUUUUACUUUGAGGAAAUUAGAGUGUUUCAAGCAGGCAUACGCCUUGAAUACAUUAGCAUGGAAUAAUAAGAUAGGACCUCGGUUCUAUUUUGUUGGUUUCUAGAGCUGAGGUAAUGAUUAAUAGGGAUAGUUGGGGGCAUUAGUAUUUAAUUGUCAGAGGUGGAAUUCUCGGAUUUGUUAAAGACUAACUUAUGCGAAAGCAUUUGCCAAGGAUGUUUUCAUUAA
rnacentral:rRNA from 1 species